rnacentral:rRNA from 1 species
UACGGAGGGUGCAAGCGUUAUCCGGAUUCACUGGGUUUAAAGGGAGCGUAGGCGGGUUGGUAAGUCAGUGGUGAAAUCUUCAAGCUUAACUUGGAACUGCCGUUGAUACUAUCAAUCUUGAAUAUUGUGGAGGUAAGCGGAAUAUGUCAUGUAGCGGUGAAAUGCUUAGAUAUGACAUAGAACACCGAUAGCGAAGGCAGCUUGCUACACAAUUAUUGACGCUGAGGCUCGAAAGCGUGGGGAGCAAACAGG